rnacentral:rRNA from 1 species
UAGGGAAUCUUCGGCAAUGGACGAAAGUCUGACCGAGCAACGCCGCGUGAGUGAAGAAGGUUUUCGGAUCGUAAAACUCUGUUGUUAGAGAAGAACAAGGUGGAGAGUGGAAAGUUCCACCCUUGACGGUAUCUAACCAGAAAGCCACGGCUAACUACGUGCCAGCAGCCGCGGUAAUACGUAGGUGGCAAGCGUUGUCCGGAUUUAUUGGGCGUAAAGCGAGCGCAGGCGGUUCUUUAAGUCUGAUGUGAAAGCCCCCGGCUCAACCGGGGAGGGUCAUUGGAAACUGGAGAACUUGAGUGCAGAAGAGGAGAGUGGAAUUCCAUGUGUAGCGGUGAAAUGCGUAGAUAUAUGGAGGAACACCAGUGGCGAAGGCGGCUCUCUGGUCUGUAACUGACGCUGAGGCUCGAAAGCGUGGGGAGCAAACA